UAGAGUUUGAUCAUGGCUCAGGAUGAACGCUAGCGGCAGGCCUUACACAUGCAAGUCGAGGGGUAACAGGAGAGAGCUUGCUCUUUCGCUGACGACCGGCGCACGGGUGCGUAACACGUAUGCAACCUACCUCUUACUGGGGGAUAGCCCAGAGAAAUUUGGAUUAACACCCCAUAGUAUCAUUCUUCCGCAUGGUUGAAUGAUUAAAGGUUACGGUAAGAGAUGGGCAUGCGCCCCAUUAGCUAGUUGGUGAGGUAACGGCUCACCAAGGCUACGAUGGGUAGGGGGUCUGAGAGGACUAUCCCCCACACUGGUACUGAGACACGGACCAGACUCCUACGGGAGGCAGCAGUGAGGAAUAUUGCGCAAUGGACGAAAGUCUGACGCAGCCAUGCCGCGUGCAGGAUGACGGCGCUACGCGUUGUAAACUGCUUUUAUAUGCCAAGAAACCUUCGGACGUGUCCGAAGCUGACGGUAGCAUAUGAAUAAGCACCGGCUAACUCCGUGCCAGCAGCCGCGGUAAUACGGAGGGUGCAAGCGUUAUCCGGAUUUAUUGGGUUUAAAGGGUCCGUAGGCGGAUCAUUAAGUCAGUGGUGAAAGCCGGCAGCUCAACUGUCGAACUGCCAUUGAUACUGGUGAUCUUGAAUACUGUUGAAGUUGGCGGAAUAGGUCAUGUAGCGGUGAAAUGCUUAGAUAUGACCU
rnacentral:rRNA from 1 species